AGUGAACGCUGGCGGUAGGCCUAACACAUGCAAGUCGAACGGCAGCACAGGAGAGCUUGCUCUCUGGGUGGCGAGUGGCGGACGGGUGAGGAAUACAUCGGAAUCCACUCUGUCGUGGGGGAUAACGUAGGGAAACUUACGCUAAUACCGCAUACGACCUACGGGUGAAAGCAGGGGAUCUUCGGACCUUGCGCGAUUGAAUGAGCCGAUGUCGGAUUAGCUAGUUGGCGGGGUAAAGGCCCACCAAGGCGACGAUCCGUAGCUGGUCUGAGAGGAUGAUCAGCCACACUGGAACUGGGACACGGUCCAGACUCCUACGGGAGGCAGCAGUGGGGAAUAUUGGACAAUGGGCGCAAGCCUGAUCCAGCCAUACCGCGUGGGUGAAGGAGGCCUUCGGGUUGUAAAGCCCUUUUGUUGGGAAAGAAAUCCAGCUGGCUAAUACCCGGUUGGGAUGACGGUACCCAAAGAAUAAGCACCGGCUAACUUCGUGCCAGCCGCCGCCGUAA
rnacentral:rRNA from 1 species